rnacentral:rRNA from 1 species
AAAUGAAUAGACGGGCACCCGCACAAGCGGUGGAGCAUGCUGUUUAAUUCGAAGAUACGCGAAAAACCUUACCUGGGCUUGACAUCUUUUUGUCAGCCAUGGAAACAUGGUCUUCUUCUUCGGAAGACAAAAUGACAGAUGGUGCAUGGUUGUCGUCAGCUCGUGUCGUGAGAUGUUCGGUUAAGUCCGAUAACGAGCGCAACCCCUUUCAUUAAUUGCUAACAUUUAGUUGAGAACCUUAAUGAUACUGCCAGUGAUAAACUGGAGGAAGGUGGGGAUGACGUCAAAUCAUCAUGCCUCUUACGUCCAGGGCUACAGGCGUGCUACAAUGGCCAAUAUAAUGAGUCGCAAUACCGUGAGGUGGAGCUAAUCUUUAAAGUUGGUCUCAGUCCGGAUUGAAGUCUGCAAUUCGACUUCAUGAAGCUGGAAUCGCUAGUAAUCCCAGAUCAGAACGCUGGGGUGAAUACGUUCCCGGGUGUUGUACACACCGCCCGU